CGGAGGACAUUGUCAGGUGG
rnacentral:siRNA from 1 species